UGCGAGCCAUAUGGAACUUUUGGAAGGCUGGACUACAAACCUGGGGAGCUGCAGGCAUCCACAGAGGAAUUUGUCUCCGUUUACCCUCAGCCCACGUUUCCUUCCUCUGAGAAACUCAGGAGCCCAUUGUUGUUAUUUGCCUCCAAGCAAACAAGCAGCUGGAAAUGGCACAGACAGCCCUGCUCCAAGGAAAUGACUUCAGAGCGUUAUGGCAGACACAUAUCCCCCUACCAAGCACGAUCUCUAUUGACAUCAGACUGCUCAUCAACAGCGUUUGUCUCAUUCCCAUCGAAACAACUUACACAUGCUUUACCAGGAUUCUGUUGUAUGCAGGACCAUAGCAAGAUGUUUCUACUGAGAACCGUAGGUUUGUCUUUUCUGCUAUUGAACUGAAGAACUCAUUUGAAACCAACAUUUAUUAAUUCUCAGUCAUAAUCUCUCUGUCUCCUUUCAUUUCUCCCCAUUGCUCACAAGCACUUUCUCAGACAUGUUCUUCCUGUUUGCAUUCUGGCCAUGUUCUUCAUCGAUUUUGGGUGUUUUGUUUUUUUUUU